AUUGACUUUGAACUCUUCUAUAGAUAGAUUGAUUAUGAUACCUGGCACGGAAGAGAAGCGAUAAGCCGUUACCUCGAAAUGCUCCUCUCUAGCCUCCGACAUAAGAAAACGAAAGUGAAACCUACAGAGAUUUUCUGCAUAUAUAGGUAACUGCAGUAAGCAUGGCGGAUGUAUGUGUGAUUUGGUUAGGUUUUAUUUGUUAAAAGUCCUUUCAACAUUACAAGAAACCUAACAAUGACAACAUUUAGACAAAAGAAAGAUUUGCAUGGGAAACCUAUCACAAAUUACCCAGGCUAUCGCUCAAAAGAUAAAAUGUUAAUUUAGAACAGUCAUAAGAUAACUAAACCAUUUAUAUUGUUAUUUAUCAGUAAUGACGUUAUUCUACUUGGCAAAUCAAAUACGUGUGUUUACUGGAACGAUAAAAAUAGAUAUGUAGAUAUUAUAUAUUUGUAUUUUGCUCAUCCCAAUCAGUAAAAUAUGCAUCUACUGCCGAGUAGUAUACGAUAUACCCAGGAAACCAUCAGUAAUGUUUUUAACAGGAGAUCUAAGCAUCAUGGUAAGCCAAUCGGAGAAACCUUGGACGAUUUAUUGCGAGGGCAGUGCGAAAUCGAAGAUAUACCGACCAUCAAGGUCUUCAAAGUAAGAGGAGUCUGGUACACACACAACAAUAGGAGGUUGUGGGUGUUCAAGAUGCUGGAAAAACUAGGAAAGUGUACAAAAAUCCCUGCUGAUGAAGAAGGUGCGAGUGCUGUUAAAGAAAGAAGUUGUGAAAACGAGGUUGUCUGUUAAGGUGCGUGGUGAUGAAGGAGGGUCGUUAUGGAAGGAGAUGAAUACCAACGAUACAAAUCCAAAGAUUCGCGCGAGCACCUCGCGUAAGUCAGGGAGCCCCAAAAAGAGAAGAUCACAGAAAGGAAUUCAGGAACAAAUACGUGAAGAUAUGAACACCGAGUAAAACGUCAACUUAUGUCCAUAGCACCGACUACCAAGCCCUGUCGAUUUACCAGAAAAGAAAUAUAGAAAAAUGCUUUUGUUACAAUAUUUGGAUAUCAAGUUUCCUCCGCCGCGCGUGUGUGUUAUCGACGAAACCUGAACAACAGUACCCGACAACUGGGAUUGUGGCAGAAGUAGUGUGUACUGUUUUAUUUCAAUGUUUCUCACUUGAAAUUAGUGAUGGUUAAUGUCAGGUUAACGAUUGUUUUAACAGUGAACUUUUAUUUGAUGUAAUUGUGACAUACAAAACAAAGAAUAAAAUAAUACAGGAAACAAUAUAUACAUAUAUUGAUAAAUAAAAUCUCUUAAAUGUCAAAUGUGUUCCUCGUUUUAUUUGAUGACGUCAGAUGUGAAGACUACAGAUCCUACUUACGGUAACAUUCGGCAGCUGUAUCUUCUCUGAUCCACAUGCACCUGAGAUUGACUAUGAACUCUCCUAUCAUUAGAUUUACAUGAUACCAGACACGAAAGGGAAAUUAACUCCUCUGACUUUUGACCUUUAAAGUUAGGUAGAUCAUACAAAACGAAAGUGAAAUCACUAGAUAAUUUUAAAAGUGCAUACCAGACACGAACAGGAAAUGAAUCCCUUUGAACUUUGACCUUAAAAAUUAGGUAGAUCAUACAAAACGAAAGUGAAACCACUAGAGUUUUAGAUUUACAUGAUACCAGACAGGGCAGGGAAACGAAUCCCUCUGACCUUUGAUCUUUGAAGUUAGGUGAUCAUACAAAACGAAAGUGAAACCACUAGAGAGUUUUAGAAGUACAUACCAGACAAGAAAGUGAAAUGAAUCCAUCUGACCUUUGACCUUUGAAGUUAUGUAGAUCAUACAAAACGAAAGUGAAACCACUAGAAAGUUUAGAGUCGAAAGACAAUUUCAGAAAGCAUGGCAGCUAUUCGUAUAUAGGGCAGAGACACGAACUCAUUUAUAUGUUUACAAAAUAUGAUGUCGUUGACACAGGGGCUGGACAUGCGCAUCGAUCCUCUCCCACAUAUACAUGUAUAUAUUUGUAUGAUGAAGCCUGAUACAAAAUAUGAUGUCGAGAACACGGGCUGGACUCUUGAUUCGAUCCUCUCCCAAAUGUAUAUAUACUUGUUUAAUGAAGUCUGAUAGCAUUAUGUCGGGGGCACAGGACCGGGAAACACACAUCGAUUUUUCUCCCGAAUAGAGUACUUGUAAACACUUUUGAGAGAAUCAUUGUGGAUGUCCAGCCCCUGUGCCGUGACAGUAUAUCGGACUUCAUUAACGAGUAUAUAUGGGUUGAAGAGGAUCGAUAGCUGUGUCCAGUCCCUGUGCCCCGACGUCAUAUUUUGUAUCAAACUUCAUCACGUAAAUACAUAUAUGCGUGAACAGGGAUAUAUACCUGUUUCCAGCCCCUGUAUCAUCGACAUUAUAAUUUGUAUUAGACUUAAUCAAACUUGUAUAUACAUGUGACAAGGGAUCUAUGCGUUCGUCCGGACCAUGUGUCAUCGAGAUCAUAAUGUGCAUCAGACUUCAUUAAACAAGUAUAUAUGUGGAAGAGGAUUAAUACCUGUGUCACUGCUUUUAUAAUUUUUGUCAGAUUCAUCUAACACAUACAGUAUAUAUACAUGUGGAAGAGGGUCGGAGCUUGUGUCCAGCCCUUGUGACACCGACAUUAUAAUUUGAAUCAGACUUCAUGUGUUUGUUUAAUGUACCUGCAGGGAAAUUCCAUUUAAACUUGGUGCGUUACGUCAUCAUUUUCAGGGGACAUCUAGACAAACGUCGACUGAAUGUGUAUGCUGACAGUAACGUAGUUAAUCUCGUAAAUAUAUUUACUUUGCUAUCUAAAUCAAACCCAUAAUAACUAUUGUUACAUGCCGUAUGUAUGGAUGUUGUAACUGAAGUGACAUAUAAAAAUAAAGAUUUAGAAUCCUGCCCGCGCUGGGGAUCGAACUAGCGACCUCUCAGUGUCUAGGAGUCAUUAGGCUAAAACGAAACUCCGGCUAACCCCAGCUAGUAAGGUGGCCUAGCUUUUACUCUCUACUCAAUGAAAAGGAAAUUGAUUAUGUCUUUGAUUAAUUAACACAACGACUGAAUCAGAAUUAUACACGCAUCCGUAGGCUAGCAUAGAGGCUCUUCUCGACUCUGCACGGAGACAAUCGUAUGACGUCAUGAGAGUGAUGACGAAAGGUCAUUUGUGACGUCACGUUCCUGUUGCUAAGCUGCUUAGAAAUAUAGGCAAAGGCGGAGAUGAUUAGUCUCUCCCCAACUCCUCUCCUCUACUUCUUUUCUUAAGUUUUGGAUUAUCACAAAUGGAUAUCAAGAUUUUCUUGAUAUUUGUGGUGAUUCUGAACGCCAUGCAGCAAAGCCCUGCUGCUUAUCAGGACCUUACGUGGUAAGUUUGGACAUUUUCUGUGAUUUUUGUUUCCUCAUUGAUUAUACAUGUACAUCACGGUGCCUAGAUGCAUUUAUGGCACCCUUAGUGGUGUCACAACAUUUCACCUUUGUCACUUUAUUUGUGUAGCGUGGAGCCCGAGCCAGGACAUACCAAAAGAUUGUUGUAUUAUAUCACCGCAAGAGAAGUUGAGAAAGCAUGUCCCAACGCAAGUCGACUUGAUGUGGAGAAUCGGAAAUGAGGUAUUCUGUACCCUUCUGUGUGGGAUCAUAACACUGAUGUUGGUUUACACGUAUGUGUAUGCACCGUCGAUUGGAAACCGCGCCAAGGACAGAUAGGCAGCCAUGGUUUCCAUGUUCCAAGCAUGGAGAACUCGCCGUUCCCUCUGCCGUUUCUGUGGAACUUCUCCAUGUCAGGCCAAGCGAACAUCAUGGAAGCGCUUCAGUCCCCGUAUCAAGAAUGUGACCAAUUUCGAGGAGCGAUCCAAUGCAAUGAAGUUGUUCAGCCUCGGACUGGAGCUGUCCGUCGACCUGACAAAAGAACUUCCCCGGGAUGAGCUGUACUGGGCUAGGAAAUACUGCGAUCAGUUCGAGGAGGACCACAUGGUUCUAUUCCCGCUGUGCAUCCAGCGUCAAAUCAAUGACUGGUACCCAUUGCCUCACUAGAUUCCUUGCAGUAUUUGACGAUGAGAAGAAUGUCGAUGAUGGAACAGUGGUGGUCGAGGUGACGUCAUCGAUUUGUGUGAUAACGCCCUUAUUGUCGCAACCGCGAUUUUGCUUGUAGUUGAUGCUUUUCUUGACCUUGUGAUAUCUAUGUUGUUGCAUAACUUUGGUCAGUUUUACAUUGUAAAAUUGGUACUUUGCAGAGAGGAACAUUGUACGCUGAUGACCAGCGGACUAAAACUGUUCUAUAUUGGUCAGCUACUAUGUAUAUAUGUUCUGUAACGUUUCUAUGGUAACCAUUUACACGUGGUAUAAUAAAAUGUCCUAACCUGA